CUAGAAGUUCGUCGAAAAGUUGGUCGAUUUCUGAAAAUAGUUACCAAAAACUGGAUAGCUGGUCAAAAAAUUCAACCAGUGCCAAAAAAUUCAUCGAAAAAUUCAAUCGAAAUCUGAAAAUUUUCAAAAAAUUUCCAGAAAAAAAUCGCCUAAAAUUCUCCAAAAUUUUUAAAAAAUUCAUGAAAUUGCUUUUGACCUUUCUGGAUGCUUUUUUUUCUUCUCUUCUGCUCUCCCUCUCUCCCAACGUUUAUUUUCUUUGUCCGUCUCCUUUUGUGUGUUUAUUCCAGCACCUAUUUAUAGGGAUUGAUCAGAAGAGUUUCUGAUCAAUCCUAAUUUUCUCUUGGAUUGGGAUUCAAUCAUUGAAUCCAAUCUGGACUCUGAUUGAAUUCUAAAUUCAUGGUAGAACUCCAGUUUUUAUCCUAAUCUCAAUUCCAAUCGGGUA
rnacentral:lncRNA from 1 species